UAGGGAAUAUUGGGCAAUGGAGGGAACUCUGACCCAGCCAUGCCGCGUGCAGGAUGAAGGCGUUAUGCGUUGUAAACUGCUUUUUAUAUAGGAAGAAAUAGUCCUUGCGAGGAAAGUUGACGGUACUAUAUGAAUAAGCACCGGCUAACUCCGUGCCAGCAGCCGCGGUAAUACGGAGGGUGCAAGCGUUGUCCGGAUUUAUUGGGUUUAAAGGGUGCGUAGGCGGUUUAUUAAGUCAGUGGUGAAAGACGGUCGCUCAACGAUUGCAGUGCCAUUGAUACUGGUAGACUUGAGUAUGAUUGAGGUAGCUGGAAUGGAUAGUGUAGCGGUGAAAUGCAUAGAUAUUAUCCAGAACACCAAUUGCGUAGGCAAGUUACUAAGUCAUAACUGACGCUGAGGCACGAAAGUGUGGGUAUCAAACAGGAUUAGAUACCCGAGUAGUCCCUGAGCGGGCUGGCAAGGCGCAU
rnacentral:rRNA from 1 species